UACGGAGGGGGCUAGCGUUGUUCGGAAUUACUGGGCGUAAAGCGCACGUAGGCGGAUUAAUAAGUCAGAGGUGAAAUCCCAGGGCUCAACCUUGGAACUGCCUUUGAUACUGUUAGUCUUGAGGUCGAGAGAGGUGAGUGGAAUUCCGAGUGUAGAGGUGAAAUUCGUAGAUAUUCGGAGGAACACCAGUGGCGAAGGCGGCUCACUGGCUCGAUACUGACGCUGAGGUGCGAAAGCGUGGGGAGCAAAC
rnacentral:rRNA from 1 species